rnacentral:rRNA from 3 species
UACUGGCUCAGAUUGAACGCUGGCGGCGUGCUUAACACAUGCAAGUCGAGCGAGAAAGUUCUCUUCGGAGAAUGAGUAGAGCGGCGCACGGGUGAGUAACGCGUGGAUAAUCUACCCUGAAGAUCGGGAUAACAGUUGGAAACGACUGCUAAUACCGGAUAUCCUGCAUAUUUAGCUUUAUGUGGUAAAGGCGGCCUCUAUUUAUAAGCUGCCGCUUUGGGAUGAGUCCGCGUCUCAUUAGCUUGUUGGUGGGGUAAUGGCCUACCAAGGCAACGAUGAGUAGCUGGUCUGAGAGGAUGAUCAGCCACACUGGGACUGAAACACGGCCCAGACUCCUACGGGAGGCAGCAGUGGGGAAUAUUGCGCAAUGGGGGAAACCCUGACGCAGCGACGCCGCGUGCGGGAAGAAGGCCUUCGGGUCGUAAACCGCUGUCAGGAGGGAAGAAACUGUUAGGGUAUAAUACGCCCUUUCACUGACGGUACCUCCAAAGGAAGCACCGGCUAACUCCGUGCCAGCAGCCGCGGUAAUACGGAGGGUGCGAGCGUUAAUCGGAAUCACUGGGCGUAAAGCGCACGUAGGCGGCGCAUCAAGUCAGGCGUGAAAGCCCUCGGCUCAACCGAGGAAUUGCGCUUGAAACUGGUGUGCUGGAGUCUCGGAGAGGUUGGCGGAAUUCCAGGUGUAGGAGUGAAAUCCGUAGAUAUCUGGAGGAACACCGGUGGCGAAGGCGGCCAACUGGACGAGUACUGACGCUGAGGUGCGAAAGCGUGGGGAGCAAACAGGAUUAGAUACCCUGGUAGUCCACGCUGUAAACGAUGGAUAUUAGGUGUCGGGGGUUACCUUCGGUGCCGCAGUUAACGCGUUAAAUUCCCGC